GCUGACAAGUCUGCUUACCACACCACUACAAAACAUCUCCAAAAAUGAACUUUGGUCCUUGGGGGAUGAUGAAUCCUAUGGGUCCCAUGGUGCCUUUUGGGUACGGACCACAGCCAUGUUCCUGUAACAGUAAUAUGUCUUACGCUGGGAUGCCUUAUCCACAGAUGAAUAUGAUGGGCCCCCCAAUCCCAUUCCAGGAUGAAAUGCCUUCCUAUUCAACUAAAGUCAAGAUGACUCGCAUUUUACCCGAUACGGGAAAGGGUGCUCGCAAACAAACAGUUGUCCUUAAGAAUGGCGAAAUUGUCUAUGCUGAAGAAACAAAAUACGGCUCUUCAAGAUCUAAUGCACAACACUAAAUCAUUCAGAAAUAUAAAUGAAUUACUGCUCAAUCUCUAUGCUUAUUCAAAAUGUUGAUUUUUUUCACUCUACUUGCUAUUGGCUUUAAAUUCAUUAAUUUCUAGCAUAAUUACCAUAAUUCCAUUUAAAGAUCUGUACUUUAGCCCAUCUCUCCAGAAUCAUCAGUUGAAAGUAUGAAAUGAAAAUCUAUAAUUAUGUAUAAGAUUCACAUCUGUGCAGUCUCUGUAAAGUCAUUAACUGAAAUUAAUCAAGUACUUG